rnacentral:rRNA from 1 species
GACGAACGCUGGCGGCGUGCCUAAUACAUGCAAGUCGAACGCAGUGGGGACGGUUGAGUAACACGUGGGUAACCUCCCAUCAGACGGGAUAACACUUGGAAACAGGUGCUAAACUGAUACUGAUUGAUGGACCCGCGGUGCAUUAGCUAGUUGGUGAGGUAACGGCCAACCAAGGCCACGAUGCCUAGCCGGCCUGAGAGGGUGAUCGGCCACACUGGGACUGAGACACGGCCCAGACUCCUACGGGAGGCAGCAGUAGGGAAUAUUGGGCAAUGGACGAAAGUCUGACCGAGCAACGCCGCGUGUGUGAAGAAGGUUUUCGGAUCGUAAAGCUCUGUUGUUAGAGAAGCGGUAUCUGACCAGAAAGCCACGGCUAACUACGUGCCAGCAGCCGCGGGAAUUC